UACGAAGGGGGCUAGCGUUGUUCGGAAUCACUGGGCGUAAAGGGUGCGUAGGUGGCGCUGCAAGUCGGGUGUGAAAUCCUGAGGCUUAACCUCGGAACUGCAUUCGAUACUGCGGCGCUUGAGGACUGGAGAGGAGACUGGAAUUCAUGGUGUAGCAGUGAAAUGCGUAGAGAUCAUGAGGAAGACCAGUGGCGAAGGCGGGUCUCUGGACAGUUCCUGACACUGAGGCACGAAGGCCAGGGGAGCAAACGGG
rnacentral:rRNA from 1 species